rnacentral:rRNA from 1 species
AGACCCGAAACCCGGUGAUCUAGCCAUGGGCAGGUUGAAGGUUGGGUAACACUAACUGGAGGACCGAACCGACUAAUGUUGAAAAAUUAGCGGAUGACCUGUGGCUAGGGGUGAAAGGCCAAUCAAACCGGGAGAUAGCUGGUUCUCCCCGAAAGCUAUUUAGGUAGCGCCUCGGACGAAUACUACUGGGGGUAGAGCACUGUUAAGGCUAGGGGGUCAUCCCGACUUACCAACCCUUUGCAAACUCCGAAUACCAGUGAGUACUAUCCGGGAGACACACGGCGGGUGCUAACGUCCGUCGUGGAGAGGGAAACAACCCAGACCGCCAGCUAAGGUCCCAAAGUAUAGCUAAGUGGGAAACGAUGUGGGAAGGCUCAGACAGCCAGGAUGUUGGCUUAGAAGCAGCCAUCAUUUAAAGAAAGCGUAAUAGCUCACUGGUCGAGUCGGCCUGCGCGGAAGAUGUAACGGGGCUAAGCUAUACACCGAAGCUGCGGCUACGUACCUUAGGGUAUGUGGGGUAGGGGAGCGUUCUGUAAGCCGUUGAAGGUGGUCUGUAAGGGCUGCUGGAGGUAUCAGAAGUGCGAAUGCUGACAUGAGUAACGAUAAAGCGAGUGAAAAACUCGCUCGCCGGAAGACCAAGGGUUCCUGUCCAACGUUAAUCGGGGCAGGGUAAGUCGACUCCUAAGGCGAGGCCGAAAGGCGUAGUCGAUGGGAAACGGGUUAAUAUUCCCGUACUUCUUACAAUUGCGAUGGGGGGACGGAGAAGGCUAGGUGGGCCUGGCGACGGUUGUCCAGGUUCAAGUAUGUAGGCGGGUGGUUUAGGUAAAUCCGGACCACUACUAACGCUGAGAUACGAUGUCGAGCUACUACGGUAGUGAAGUCAUUGAUGCCAUGCUUCCAGGAAAAGCCUCUAAG